CAGUCAGCGUCAGUAAAAACUUAAUAGUUACAACUUUCAACAACGGAUCUCUUGGUUCUGGCAUCGAUGAAGAACGCAGCGAAAUGCGAUAAGUAGUGUGAAUUGCAGAAUUCAGUGAAUCAUCGAAUCUUUGAACGCACAUUGCGCCCCUUGGUAUU
rnacentral:rRNA from 1 species